rnacentral:rRNA from 1 species
AGCGAACGCUGGCGGCAGGCCUAACUCAUGCAAGUCGAACGAAGUCUUCGGACUUAGUGGCGGACGGGUGAGUAACACGUGGGAACGUGCCUUUAGGUUCGGAAUAACUCAGGGAAACUUGUGCUAAUACCGAAUGUGCCCUUCGGGGGAAAGAUGUGUCGCCUUUAGAGCGGCCCGCGUCUGAUUAGCUAGUUGGUGAGGUAAAGGCUCACCAAGGCGACGAUCAGUAGCUGGUCUGAGAGGAUGAUCAGCCACAUUGGGACUGAGACACGGCCCAAACUCCUACGGGCGGCAGCAGUGGGGAAUCUUGCGCAAUGGGCGAAAGCCUGACGCAGCCAUGCCGCGUGAAUGAUGAAGGUCUUAGGAUUGUAAAAUUCUUUCACCGGGGACGAUAAUGACGGUACCCGGAGAAGAAGCCCCGGCUAACUUCGUGCCAGCCGCCGCCGUAA